UUUAUAUGACGCCGUUAACUUUUAGGUCCACGUUUGACCAUUCGUCUUAUUAAAAAAAUUAUAUAAAUAUUAAUUAGUUUGUUAUAAUAUGAUUUAUUAUAAUAGAAACUUUAAUUAUGUAUUAUAAUUUUGUAUAUUUGGAUAAAAAUUUUGAAUAAGACGAAUGGUCAAAUGUGAUUCUAAAAGUCAACGGUGUCAUACAUA
rnacentral:pre_miRNA from 1 species